rnacentral:rRNA from 1 species
AACGAACGCUAUCGGUAUGCUUAACACAUGCAAGUCGGACGGACUAAUUAGGGCUUGCCCCAAUUAGUUAGUGGCAGACGGGUGAGUAACACGUGGGAAUCUGCCCAUCAGUACGGAAUAACUUUUAGAAAUAAAAGCUAAUACCGUAUAUUCUCUACAGAGGAAAGAUUUAUCGCUGAUGGAUGAGCCCGCGUCAGAUUAGGUAGUUGGUGAGGUAACGGCUCACCAAGCCGACGAUCUGUAGCUGGUCUGAGAGGAUGAUCAGCCACACUGGGACUGAGACACGGCCCAGACUCCUACGGGAGGCAGCAGUGGGGAAUAUUGGACAAUGGGCGAAAGCCUGAUCCAGCAAUACCGAGUGAGUGAUAAAGGCCCUAGGGUUGUAAAGCUCUUUUAGCAAGGAAGAUAAUGACGUUACUUGCAGAAAAAGCCCCGGCUAACUCCGUG